UGAUCCAAUUUUUCUGAUACACUGAGGCA
rnacentral:piRNA from 1 species